rfam:Aedes albopictus isolate Foshan contig85237, whole genome shotgun sequence.
UGUUCUGUGGCGAAGUUAGUUAACGUGCCCUGUCUAGCGAACUUGGGGAGACGUGGGUUCAAAUCCCACCAGAACUA